rnacentral:rRNA from 1 species
CCUACGGGUGGCAGCAGUAGGGAAUAUUGCUCAAUGGGGGAAACCCUGAAGCAGCAACGCCGCGUGGAGGAUGAAGGUUUUCGGAUUGUAAACUCCUUUUGUUAGAGAAGAUAAUGACGGUAUCUAACGAAUAAGCACCGGCUAACUCCGUGCCAGCAGCCGCGGUAAUACGGAGGGUGCAAGCGUUACUCGGAAUCACGGGGCGUAAAGGGCGCGUAGGCGGGAUAGCAAGUCAGAUGUGAAAGCCUAUGGCUUAACCAGAGAACUGCAUUUGAAACUGUUAUUCUAGAGUAUGGGAGAGGUAGGUGGAAUUCUUGGUGUAGGAGUAAAAUCCGUAGAGAUCAAGAAGAAUACUCAUUGCGAAGGCGACCUGCUAGAACGUAACUGACGCUGAUGCGCGAAAGCGUGGGGAGCAAACAGGAUUAGAUACCCUAGUAGUC